rnacentral:lncRNA from 1 species
CGUCACAUGUCCCCAGUCUAGGUUGCCCAUCCGCGUCCGAGUCAUCUUCCUCCCCAGUUUUUACUUCUUGAUUUAUUGUUUUUCUGAACAUAUGUGUGCAGAUCUAAGAAAAAAGAGAAGGGGAUGAAUCUGGAGGAAGAGCUUGGUGAAGAACAAGGUGAUCUCUCUCUCUCCAUCUCUCUGAAUUUAAGUCCACUUUCAUCUUUUUCAUUGCUACUAUUUCUCGUGGGAUAUUCAGGAGUUGAGAACACAUAUUUUGUAGGUGUUCGUAAUGGCAACAGUGGUAAUCAACAAUGAGAAAAAAGGACCGAGAUUGGAUUUGUACUAGGUAUGUUCCUCGUCUCUCUCAGUCCUUGUUCCAAUCCCCACCCUGAUGUAACUGUUUCUUCACAACUGUUGGAUGUGUCUUAGGAGAUGAAUGUCAUGGAUUGUUUAGAUUCUUGUUGAGCUAACCACUACUUAAACUAUUUGUCCCCUUGUUAAAGCUAAUCAUAGUAAUAGUUGGUGAUCGUCCGGCUGCUGUGUAUAGUGGCAACCAAAUUCAUGAUGAUGAGCUGAAUCAAACCCGUAGUAAAGUUAGUGUUAAAUCACACAUGUGUAUAGUCAAGUUCAGUACACUCAGGCAGUUUUGUCAGGUUGUAGAUUUAGUAUGACAAGAAAAUUACUUGAAAGAAAUAGGUACAGCCACUAUGAUAAAUAUCAGUAGUAUGCAUUGUAUAUGUAUGCUCAGUCAUGUUCAACUCAGUAUUUUUACCCUAUGUGUUACAGCAGGUGAUGCCUUAAUUUAGUUCAUGGCAUUAUGGCGGGACGCAUGUGGUAAUUGGUUACAAUGGUGGCUCAUGGAGUUAAAAUUUUGUGUUCUGUACAGAUUUGAGAUGAUAGAAAUUCAAAAUAGGUAAACCAAUAAGCCAUGUUUUUCUUUGGUGUUGCAGUUGUCAUGUGUCACAUAGUUAUAUAUGUGUGUUCAUAAUUAUAACUGCACUUUGUCUCUCUCUUUGCAAGUGUGAUACAUGCAUGUUCAUAAUUAUAUUUUAGUCCUAAUUUUCAGAUCAUGACCACAUCUUGUGGAGUUUCAAAAUCUAAUAUCUCUAAUUUCCGCAUCAAGCUAAGUGGUCCCAUUGUUUAGCAUUUAGGCACUUUCUAUUUGUUGCUUCAAUGUAAUGUUUAAGGUUGUUGCUUUAACAAUGUUUGAUCUAGAUUAUCAGUAAAACACACUCACAAUUAGGUGUUCUUCCUUGGUUAGCUGCCUGCAUUUCUUAUGUUUGAUUGGUUCAAGCCAGUAUGACUCUUUUUCUUUGCCUUUCACAGGGGUCCUUUGCUACUGUUGGUUGUGUCCUUGCUUCUUGGAGAGGAGGGAGGGCAGAUGACUUUGAUGCCAGAAAUAGGGGAGGUAAUGAAAAUACUAUGAUCUAUUAUGCUACAGCUGCUUAGCCAUUGGAUCUGGACUCCUUGAGCAAAUGUUUAUUCGUUUACUCAUUUCUGCUCUUCUUGGUGUAUGUGAAGUGAUACAAUUGUAUUCCAUUGGUUUCAACUUACUUUUCCUGAACUAAUUCUGUAAUGAGUACACAUUGGCCUCUCCAGAGGCCCUUCGUAAUCAUAUUCAAGUUAAACCACUGGAUAAAUACUGACAAGAUAACCUGAUCCUAAUGAGUUGGCUACAAAUUCUAAAUAUUAUUAGUUUGAGACAGAACCUAAGCAGCAAAAAUUGUUUGCUUUGGCUGAAGAUAUACGGUUUUCUUUCUCAAAGGGUAUGCAUGAUAGUUUGAUAAGAUUUGAUUGCUUAGGUUUUGUUUCAAUGCCAUUCACUGGUCUGAUGUUGUUUUUAGGAUUUUGAUAGUACCGAGUUUCCUUUCUUCAGGAACAUAAGGUCAAGUAUCUGUGUUGUUUGGUACCUUAUAGAAGAUGCAUUACGCAAUGGUCUCGGCAACUGCAGCGAGAUUUCACAGUCAUGAUUUUUCCAUAUUGGUAUGGAUUCUAAAACCUUAUAGGAAAAUGCCAUCUUUCACAAAAUGAAACUAUGGCUACAG